AGUGGGGUGGCUGAGAUUAAUAAGUAGGCGAUAGGCUGUAAAUCUAUUUAGGAGCGUUAACGUUGCUCUUCCACUA
rnacentral:tRNA from 1 species